rnacentral:rRNA from 1 species
AUUGAACGCUGGCGGCAGGCCUAACACAUGCAAGUCGAGCGGUAGCACAGAGAGCUUGCUCUCGGGUGACGAGCGGCGGACGGGUGAGUAAUGUCUGGGAAACUGCCUGAUGGAGGGGGAUAACUACUGGAAACGGUAGCUAAUACCGCAUAACGUCGCAAGACCAAAGAGGGGGACCUUCGGGCCGCUUGCCAUCAGAUGUGCCCAGAUGGGAUUAGCUAGUAGGUGGGGUAACGGCUCACCUAGGCGACGAUCCCUAGCUGGUCUGAGAGGAUGUCAGGUCACACUGCAACUCAGAGACGGUCCAGACUCCUACGGGAGGCAGCAGUCGGGAAUAUUGCACAAUGGCCGCAAGCCUGAUGCAGCCAUGCCGCGUGUAUGAAGCAGGCCUUCGGGUUGUAAAGUACUUUCAGCGGGGAGGAAGACGGUAAGGUUAAUAACCUUGUCGAUUGACGUUACCCGCAGAAGAAGCACCGGCUAACUCCGUGCCAGCCGCCGCGGUAA